UACGUAGGGUGCGAGCGUUAAUCGGAAUUACUGGGCGUAAAGUGUGCGCAGGCGGCCGCGCAAGUCGAGUGUGAAAUCCCCGGGCUUAACUUGGGAAUUGCGCUCGAAACUACGUGGCUGGAGUGUGGCAGAGGAAGGUGGAAUUCCUGGUGUAGCAGUGAAAUGCGUAGAUAUCAGGAGGAAUACCGAUGGCGAAGGCAGGUCUCUGGGCUGACACUGACGCUCAUGCACGAAAGCGUGGGGAGCAAACAGG
rnacentral:rRNA from 1 species